rnacentral:pre_miRNA from 1 species
UGGAUAGAUUAUUGUAUUCGACUGUAUUCAUUGUGUGAAAUAGGGAGUUACACUAUUUUUAAACGGAAAGUGAAUCAAUUAACAUAAUAGACUCCU